GCCUAACACAUGCAAGUCUAGCGGAUGACGGAGAGCUUGCUCCUGGAUGUCAGCGCGCUGACGGGGGAUUACUGCCUAGGAAUCUGCCUGGCAGUGGGGGACAACGUUUCGAAAGGAACGCUAAUACCGACAUACGUCUCUACGGGUAGCAAAGCAGGGGACCUUCGGGUCUUGCGCUAUCUGAUGAGCCUAUGUCGGAUUAUACUAUCCGCGUGGGGGAAUGGCUCACCAACGCGACGAUCCGUUAACUGGUCUGAGAGGAUGAUCGGCCACACUGGAACUGAGACUCGGCCCAAACUCCUACUGGAGGCAGCAUGGGGGAAUAUUGGACNAUGGGCGAAAGCCUGAUCCAGCCAUGCCGCGUGUGUGAAGAAGGUCUUCCGAUUGUAAAGUACUUUAAGUUGGGAGGAAGGGCAGUAAGCUAAUACCUUGCUGUUUUGACGUUACCGACACAAUAAGCACCGGCUAACUCUGUGACAGCAGUCUCGGUGAUACCGACGGUGCAAGCGUUAUCGGAAUUACUGGGNUAAAACUCGCGUAGGUGGUUCGUUAACNGGAUGUGAAAGUCCGGGCUCAACCUGGCACUGCUCCCAACUGGGAACUAUAUACGUAGAUGCGCGGAAUUCUGUGGAUGCGAANUGCGUAGAUAUCGAAGGAACCCGAGGCCAAGGCACCACCUGUNUGAUACUGACACUGAUCGCCAUCGCGGCGGAGCAACAGGAUUAGAUACCCUGGCAUCNACGCCGCAACGAUGUCAACUAGUNGUUGCAAUCCUUGAGAUUUACUGGCGCAUCUACGCUUNGUNCCCCUGUGAUACGCNCAGGUAAACUCAAUGAUUGACGAGUCGCCAACAGUGNAGCAUGU
rnacentral:rRNA from 1 species